GCGCGAGUGGCGGAAUGGCAGACGCGCAAGAUUCAGGAUCUUGUGCCCGCAAGGGCGUGGAGGUUCAAGUCCUCUCUCGCGCA
rnacentral:tRNA from 1 species